rnacentral:rRNA from 1 species
CAGAUUGAACGCUGGCGGCAGGCCUAACACAUGCAAGUCGAGCGCGAACGUUCCUUCGGGGACAAGUAGAGCGGCGGACGGGUGAGUAACGCGUGGGAAAUUGCCCAGUAGUGGGGGACAACAUUCGGAAACGGAUGCUAAUACCGCAUACGCCCUACGGGGGAAAGCAGGGGAUCUUCGGACCUUGCGCUAUUGGAUAUGCCCGCGUCGGAUUAGCUAGUUGGUGAGGUAAUGGCUCACCAAGGCAACGAUCCGUAGCUGGUCUGAGAGGAUGAUCAGCCACACUGGGACUGAGACACGGCCCAGACUCCUACGGGAGGCAGCAGUGGGGAAUAUUGGACAAUGGGCGCAAGCCUGAUCCAGCCAUGCCGCGUGUGUGAAGAAGGCCCUAGGGUUGUAAAGCACUUUCAGUAGGGAGGAAGGCCUUAAAGUUAAUACCUUUGAGGAUUGACGUUACCUACAGAAGAAGCACCGGCUAACUCCGUGCCAGCAGCCGCGGUAAUACGGAGGGUGCGAGCGUUAAUCGGAAUUACUGGGCGUAAAGCGCGCGUAGGCGGUUAGUUAAGCUGGAUGUGAAAGCCCCGGGCUCAACCUGGGAACUGCAUUCAGAACUGGCUGGCUAGAGUACGAGAGAGGGUAGUGGAAUUUCCUGUGUAGCGGUGAAAUGCGUAGAUAUAGGAAGGAACAUCAGUGGCGAAGGCGACUGCCUGGCUCGAUACUGACG